rnacentral:lncRNA from 1 species
UAUAUACUUAUAUAUAAUAAUCGUAAGGGAGAUAAUUUGGUCGUAUGGUCCUAUGGUCCAAAAUCUUAUCAUCCGUUGGAUCGUAUAUUGAACAAAUAAGCACCGUUAGAUUAGAACAAAAUUAAAUUCUGUUCUAUAAGGAAACUGACAUCUACUUGCAUGUUUAUAAUUCUUUUUUUGAAUCCAAAACAAAUUCUGUCUUUCACGUGUUUUUGUUUUUUUUUUAAAUCCAAAAUACAUACUUCCUACAAAUUUUAAUUGUAGAAUCUUAUAAAUCGCAUCGUCACAAAAUUAUUUUUAUCCCAUCGGAUCGUAUAUUGAACAAAUAAGCACUGUUAGAUUAGAAUAAAAUUAACUUCUCUUCCAUAAGACAAUUGAUAUUUACUUGCAUGUUUAUAAUUCUUUUUCUGAAUCCAAAACAAAUUCUGUAUUUCACGUGUUUAUGAUUUUUUUAAUCUAAAAUAAAUAUUUUCUACCAAUUUUAUUUGUAGAAUCAUAUAAAUUGCACCGUCACAAAAUUAUUUUUAUCUAAUAUAUUUUAAAAUUAAUAAGCCCGAUUUAUGUGGGAAACGAAUACAAAAACUUUUUCUUAAUCCAAAACAAAUUCUACCAUCUUAUUGCAUGUUUAUGAUUCAUCUUUUUAAUUCAAAACAAAUUGUGUUUAUCAAUUUUAAUCUCGAACUAUUAAAAAUUUUUGAAAAAUAUUUAAACCACAUUAUAAUAAUUCUAAUAUAAAAUAUAUUUAUAAAUAUAAUCUAAUAGGAGUUGGCGUCACAUAUUCUACUUAAAAUAAUUUAAAAUUUGAUAGAAAGAAUUUAAUAGUUUGGCAUGAUACAUAUAAUUUUAAUUUAUUAUUUAUAAAUUAAUUUUUUUCACACCAUUUAAAAUAUAUUUAAAAAGUUUAUAAAUAAUUAAAAAGCUCCCGUGCCUUGCAC